ensembl:snRNA U6 U6 spliceosomal RNA
UUGCUUUGGCAGCAAAUAUACAAAAAUUGGAAUGAUACAGAUAAGAUGAGCAUGGUCCCUGCACAAGGAUGACACACAAAUUUGUGAAGCAUUCCAUAUUUUU